CUGCGGUUCUGGACACGGUGACAGUUAAUACCCUAUUCCGUUCAGGGGUUCUGCAUUCUGCAGGUCCUGUUUGCAGCCCUUUUCAAGCCCAUUUCUUUCUGGUUGAGCCGCUGUUUCCUCUUUCAUGGUUUUCACCUCAUGAUCUCCAACCUCAGCUCCAAAUGUGGUUUGUCUUCUCCCCCAUCAUCCCAUCUUAUGGCUGUAAUUCACAGUGGCAUGUGUUAAUUACACCCACGCAGAGUUGUUUAAGGGCAUGCUGGGCAUCAUUAUCAUGUUUUAAAUUAUGUCCUCUCUUCUGGUCUCAGUUUGCAGCUCAGUGGGUUUUAAGGAUUGUUGGGACUCCUCUAAUCGGUGGUGUGAGGCCUGUGGAGCAGCUAAUGGAACAUCACGACUAUGCUGACUUCCCCAGGGUAUUACGGUCAUUUCUGUCUCACCAGCAGAUCUGGGUUUGUGUUAAUAAAAAAGAAAGGGUUGUCCUCUUCUGGAUGACUACAGUCAGGAUCUCCAGAUAUCUCAUCCCAAUUGUCAGGAGAUGCUAUUUGUUUCCUAAUCUGUAUGAUACCCAAACCCCCACACCUUUUCCUCCCAUCCCCUGACCCCCAUUAAGUAACUUAUAAACAGCAUUAAUUAUAUCCCUAAUACUCCCUUGCGUCAUCCUAUAGAGCAAUGCACGCAGGGUGCAGCCCUACAUAUGCGGGGCAGCGCCUUCAUUCCUGCAUUGUGUCCAACAGGUGGCAGCAGAGAGCUGCAGCGCUCCCGAGUGCUGUAAGGACUGCACGGAGAGACGUGCGGGUCUUCACGGGAACAGCCAGGAACCGAAAGCUGCAUUUCCCGGGAUGCCCUGGAGCUCCACUUUGCUGACUGGUAAUUGUCUGCCCAGCAGGUAAGGACAAUGCACACCCACCAGUGUUUACCCCUUACUGAGUGAGACACAAGGUAGGGUUCCCAGAGCUCCUUUCUGCACUUCAGGGUUCCCCAAAGGCUGCCCGUCCUAUUCUUUGCACGUUCUCCUUGGCUCUGGCCUUUCACGGUGGUGUUCUCCUUCCCUUUGCCCUUGGCGUUCCCUACUACAUUCUCUUGUCCUCUUGUUUUUGCAUUCCUUGUCAUGUUCUCUUGGCCAUUGCCUUUGGCCUUCUUUGCGGCAUUCUUUUUGGCCUCCGGUUUUGGCAUUCCCUGCUGCGUUCUCUUUGGCCAUCACUUCUGGUGUUCCAUGCAGUGUUCUAUUUGGCCUUAUGUUUUUGCCAUCCAUGCCACGUUCUCCUGGCCAUUGCGUUUGACCGCCUUUGCCACAUUCUCUUUGGCGUUGCCUUCCAUGUUCUCUUUGACCUUUGCCCUUGGCCUUCUUUGCCGUGCUCCUUUCAGCCUCCUGUCGUGGCAUUCUCUGCGACGAUCUCUUUGGCCUUUGGUUUUGGCAUUCCUUGUUGCGUUCUGUUUGGCCUUUGCCUUUGGCCUUCUUGUUUUGGCAUUCCCUACAGCGUUCUCUUCGGUCUUUGGUUUUGGCCUUCUGUGCUGCAUUCUCUUUGGCCAUUGCCCUUGGCCUCCUGCAUCGGCCUUCCCUGCAGCGUUCUCAUGGACCUCGCCCUCCAUUUUGGCCUUGCCACGGUGUUCUCUUUGGUCUCUGUUUUGUUCUCUGAGGCCCUCUCUUUGGGCCUGCCCUCUGAGGAGGUCUUCUCUUUGGUGUUCUCCAUACCUUUGCUUUCACUGUGCCUUUGACGUUGCCUUCCCUUGGUUGUUGUCUAUGCCUUUGCCCUCGGUUUUGGUGUUCCCUCGGGUGUUGUUGCCUUUGCCUUGGCCUUCCCUACCAGUCCCUUUGAGCAUAACCCUAAUAAACCUAACCCUUAUACCUUCACCCCAAUCCUAAUGAGCUCUGAACUCCAAACAUAGUGCUAAUCUGAUGCAACACCCUCAGCAAACUUACCAAAGGUGCACUCCAUGCCAUCAGGCAGGUCUUCAAUGAAGAUAUUGGACAGAACAGGCCUGAAGAGCACUCAGGAUGGCAUACCAGCUGCAUUUAACACGAUGGAGCAGCACUCAUUAGGCCAGGCGGUUCAGCUACUUCUUCAUCUAGCAAGCAGCGUACCCGUCCAAGUAGCCGGCUGCAAUCUUUCAGAGAAUUUUGAGGGAUAGCACAUCAAAGGCUUUGCCUCACUCAGGGGGUUGGGUCACCUUCGCUUUGAGAUUGCUAGCGUGGCUGACCCUAAUCCCGUAACUGACAUCCCGUAGCUGGACAGGGACCAUUCGCACUCCAUCCAGGCUGUUUGAGACUCACGGCCAUGCUGAGAGUCACACUGAUUUCAGCGCGUGCAGUCAUUUUGCAUCAACCCAAUUGGCUUUAGCUUUACAAAUAAUUUAUCUCAACCAAAUUGGCUUUAGCUUUGCAGUUAAUGCAUUGCAAAUAAGUUGGCUUUAGCUUUGCCUUGCUUACGGGGUUGGGUUAGCUUUGCUUUGUUUGUUUGUACCGCAGGGCUAACCCAACCCCGUAACCAACGCCCGAGGCCUUCGGAGCCCAUUUGCGCUCCUUCCCGGCCAGUCUGAGACUCGCGCCCCUUUGUGGCCAUUCUGAGAGUUGUGCCGAUUUUGGCAGGUGCAGUCAAUUGAUCUUGCCCAAAUUGGCUUUAGCUUUGCAAUCAAUUGAUCUUGCCCAAAUUGGCUUUAGCUUUGCAAUCAACUGAUCUUGCCCAAAUUGGCUUUAGCUUUGCAAUCAAUUGAUCUCAGCCAAAUUGGCUUUAGCUUAGCCUUGCUUACGGGGUUGGGUUAGCUUUGCUUUGUUUGUUUGUACCGCAGGGCUAACCCAACCCCGUAACCAACGCCUGAGGCCAUUGGAGCCCAUUUGCGCUCCUUCCCGGCCAGUCUGAGACUCGCGCCCCUUUGCGGCCAUUCUGAGAGUUGUGCCGAUUUUGGCAGGUGCAGUCAAUUUGUCUUGCCCAAAUUGGCUUUAGCUUUGCAAUCAAUUGAUCUCAGCCAAAUUGGCUUUAGCUUAGCCUUGCUUACGGGGUUGGGUUAGCUUUGCUUUGUUUGUUUGUACCGCAGGGCUAACCCAACCCCGUAACCAACAGAGCCCAUUUGCGCUCCUUCCCGGCCAGUCUGAGGCUUGCAUUUACUUCAGGUGGGCUGAGAUGUGCUCUGCUCUUGAGGUGGGUUGCAGUACACAAUAUUAGUGUAAAUGUAAUGUUAUUUAUUGGAUAUGGAGGCUUUGUGACCUUUGUCUUGUGAAUCGGACAUAUGUGUUAUAUGUAAACCAUGCCUUAAAAUGUAUGGAGUGCGCGGGUGCUGCGCCUGUAAACGGUGUCUUGCAAUUGUAUGGAAUCAGUGUAUUCAUGUUUUGUUUGUCAACAUGUAGGCAUUGCUGUAGUGUGCAUACAAUUGUAUGAGUCAUGUCUUGAGGAAACAGUGCUGUAAUGAACAAAUACUUGUGCAAUCUAAUUCAGUGGUGUGCCUUGAUUCAACAUUACCAGGUCACAGAUCCCACUUGAAGCUAAGUGCAACAGGUAGGUGUGAAGGUAAGGUAGACUGUGAGACAUUGGGUUAGACUUAGGUGUUAGACUUAGGGUUAGGGU
ensembl:lncRNA